rnacentral:rRNA from 1 species
UCAAAAACAUCGCCUUUAGCCACACAAGUAUUAAAGGUCCAGCCUGCCCAGUGAACCACUUUAACGGCCGCGGUACCCUAACCGUGCAAAGGUAGCGUAAUCACUUGUUCUCUAAUUAAGGACCAGUAUGAACGGCUACAUGAGGGCCAAACUGUCUCCUACAACCAGUCAAUGAAACUGAACUUUCAGUUUAAAAGCUGAAAUAAACACAUAAGACGAGAAGACCCCGCGGAGCUUUAAGCAACCCACUACCGCACUACAAAAACCACACAUGGCCCCAACCCACACCCACCCAGUAGGACUAGCUUUUAGUUGGGGCGACUACGGAGCAAAACAAAACCUCCACGCACCAGGAUAAUCAUCCAUUUUAGGCCUACAAGCCAAAAAUAACACACUUUGACCCAGCCAAGCUGAUCAUCGAACCAAGUUACCCCGGGGAUAACAGCGCCAUCCUCUUUCAGAGUCCAUAUCGCCAAGAGGGCUUACGACCUCGAUGUUGGAUCAGGGCCCCCAGGCAGUGCAGCCGCCGCC